AUGAUGCUGCCAGGGUGGGGCAUCCACAACAUCCUGGGCAACCUAUUCCACUGUCUCACCACCCUCAAUCACCUCUCUCAACCUUAUGUGAGACAUUAUCCUUACUCAGCUGUGUCUAUGACUAUAGGUCAAAUACUGACAUCGCAAACCAACACAAUAACUCAACAUGUCCUAUUCCUUGAUAAUCUCUGGAUGAUAAUGUAAUAAUUUUGGUUUCCAAGAGAUGUCUUACUUUAUUUACUCCUUUCCACUUUGUGAUGUAUACUUAGCCAAAGUCAAUAUCUAUGAUCAGGAGAUGACUGGAUAUUUGACAUCCCUUUGUCUACAGAAUUGUCUUUCUACUGCUUAAUAUAUCCAGUGGCACAUUUCAUAUAUGGCAUAUUUCUUCCACAGAUACAGUGGUUUAUGCAUGUGUCUGGGAAUUGUGUUUCCCUUUGAUUUAUUAACUAAGCGCAAAGGCUUUGUCCUGUUAUUGCUAUCUUUAUUCACACAAGGCACGUUUCAGCAAUUCCAGCUACAGCUCAUUUAGGGCUGCUUUCUUUUGAGCCUUGUUUGUUUCACCUAAUUACUUUUGCAAUAACUAUUUUUAGGUUUUUGACGUUCAUUUGUACUGGGGUAGUUUAUUCUUUAUGUGUUUUUAUAUCCUGGGUUGGUCUCCUAAGUGCAUCUCCUCAGCUGUGCAUUUAGUUUGUUCUUGAGUAGUUACAGGAGACCUUCCUGAGAGGAAUGAAAACAUAAACAUAUGGGUGGCAUGUGAGUGGCAUCUGAAUGAUGUGAGUGACUAGAAUAUACCUGUAAGGGUGGUAAACCCAGGUGAACAUCUGUAUGUUCAGAUCUUGCUGCUAUAAUUCUCACUCCUGCAUCAUAUCAAGAGAUUGGACUGGAGGAUACCUUGAGUUUUAUUGUAAGCCUACUUUUUGUCACUGUCAAUAAUUUGCCAAAAUUUAAGACAAACAACCAUAAUGAAAAGCUGAUUUCACAGCUUGCUUUCCUAAUGGCCAUAUAAAAUGAAUUCUUCUACUGGCUCUUAGAUCCAUCACUGUUGAUUUUCAGUUCUCCGAACUCCUCACAUGUGUCUCUAGUUAAGAGAAUAAAGCAACUAGGGAGCCAAUUAAUGAUAUUCACAGCCAGCCAAAGCCCAGAACUGUUUUCUCACAGCUCCGUUGAAGUGCCAGUGAUGGCACCACACUUAGAUUGUGUAGGUUUUGUUUGUUAAUGUCAGUAAAGCCCUCCAAGAAUCCUGUGCAAUGAAUGACAGAUAUGAUAUCUGAAGGCAGAUAUAAAACAUUUUAUGCCUUAGCAACAUGACAUGGGAUCUGGAUUCUGAGCCCAGCUUACUCCAAUAAAGUUCAGGGUUGCCAUAGUCAGGCAUAGAUUCAGGCUUGUCUUUCUCAUCAAGAGAAUACCAGGGAAAUACCAUUUACUAUGCGUGGGCCUUGUUUCUCCUGCAAACCCACAGUCACUUCAAAGUUUGCUGCCUUUUGGUGGAAAAGUUAGGUAAUUAAAACAUUAAUGAACCCUUAGACAGUGCUUUUGUGUGUUUGUGUAUUUUGUACACAGUCACAAAGAGCAUCAACAUACUGUCUUGAGAACAUGAUACUCCAGAUAGCCAAGCACACAGCUCUUAUCAGCUCAAUUGUUGGUUUGAACCUGCAUCCCACUAAAUGCUAUUUGUAUAUUGACUGUACUUCUUAGAGGACUAUUUCUUUUGUAUUUGCUGUAGCUUCCACUAUCUCUUAGACAUUUUUCAAAUAUGAAAGAUGUUCCCCUAAAGAACAUCUAGUAUAAAGGAUGAAAUUGUCAAUAAGUAGAGCCUGGUGGCUGCCAAUAUCCCUGAGUGCUCAAGAGGGAGAAUGACUUUGGUGCUGCAAUGGACAGAUGCAGAGAGCAGCAAAGCCCCCAUGCGGAAACAGCAUCAUUUGUCUGUCUGCUUGUCAGCUUUCUGGUAAGUAGAAAUCAAAUGCUUUUAUCACCUGAAUGUACAUGUGAAGUUGGUAAUGUUUGCAACUAAUUAAAAAUAUUCUCAACAAUUUUCUAGUGGUAGCUCAGACUGACAAUUAUGGCCAGAGGCCUCUUACACAAUGUGCCAGGCAAAGAGAAAAAUGGAAUAGUCAGAGAAAGAAGCUGCUAGAAAAGGAUUUCUGCAGGUGAUUAACCUAAUGAGCAUGAGGAUUUUCAUAUAAACUGUCAUCUUAUUCUGGUGCUAGUACUUGGAGCUCAUGACUCUGAUUCUUGCAAUUCUGCUCCUGGCUUUCAUAUGUGUGGUUGUAUUUCUUUAAUGUUGGGCAGCAUUUUUGGUUUUGUUUGAUUUUUUUUUUUUGGCUUGGCUGACUUCUUUGCAAAUUACAGUAGUAUUCACUUACCUUACAGAGUUACUGUAAACCUUAAUUAAGCUCCCCCUGAGCAGCUUGGAGAGGGCUGGACAAAAGCUGCUGUCGAGGUGACAGCAAUUUUCUGGGACCAAGCAGUGUUGAGCAGCAUGGGGUCUUUAAUAUCCCAGCUCUUACCUGCUGCUGUGUCAGACAAAAGGAUGAGGUAUUAGUCUGGUAGAUUAAGAGGUAGCUAGAAAAACUAGACACUUUUUCAGAUUUUUUUUUUUAUAAAUAGGAACCUGACAAAAUUGAUUUGUUGAGUUGUAACUAUGCAUGCAUUUGGCUAUAGCUGGAAGAUUCAAGCUUCAUUAAAAGAAUAAUUAAAGAGAAAGAGUCCAUUCAAAAACUAAUGAGAGCAUUUCCCUUUGUCCUUUCUAGAAGUGAACUAUUUUCUUUUGUGAAUGCCAGCCUGUUUUGUUACAACAAACUAAAAAGUAUGCCUUCACUUUUCAGUUUGAACCAACAUUUUUCAUUUUAACAUUAACAUUGUACACCACAAACAUAAGUCAAAACUAUCAGUUGCAAGUCUACAAGGACUUUAAAUGAAUGUCAGACCCUUGUGAUCUCAGAGCGUAGGAGAGGCUUCACUCCAAGAUUUAUACACCCUUCCCAGCAGGUGGAAAUAAAACUAACCUCACAAGGGGUAGUUUUAGUACCCUAAAUGAACUUGAGAUAAGCAGCAGUUGAGGGAAGCUAAAUCAGUGGUUACAUGUCCAUGUUAAUCUUCAGCAGCUCCAAAACAAGCAGACUCUGCUUCAUCCCCAUCCCCACUGCCAGUGCUGGGUGUCACUGUCACCUUUGCUCUUGUGCCUCAGUUAGCAACGUUCAGCCUCGUGGUGAUCAGAGUGGGGAAGAGCUUCACUGACCUUUGUUUUUCAUUUGCAGGUUUGGAUUUCACUUGAAUCCACUGCUUUGUGUGGUUUUCUAUCUGGCUGGAUGAAGAGAGGAGGUUGGAUCAGUUGGCAACAGUCACAUUCUCCUUUUCAGCAAAUCCCUGAAGCAGUUAUGGCCUAAAAGUGUGCUAAAGACAAAAAACCCAAAGCAUGAAAGUGUUCAGCAUUGAUGUCUGGAAGCCCUCCUCAUCCCUUCUUAUUGUCUGAGCAGCAAGGUCAUCUGAAUUAUUCUGCACUGGCAGUGAUAUGAGUGGAGCAGGACUCAGAGCCUCAUUCACUCAGGAAUUUCUGCAUCACUGUGGAAAAUGAAGUCACCUCUUUCUUGAUAAAUGUACUCUGAAGACAUGCCAGGGGAUACUGCUGGUACAACGUCAAGAGUUUCCACUAGUGACCACUGUUGAAGACAGAAGUCUGGGCCAAGAGUGCUCUGAAUCCAGGAUAUAGCCUUAUGUUCCUUCUAGCUCCAGUCUUCCCUGUCCUGUCCUGUUCAAUACAUACCCAAUCUUGCUCCACCCAGCCUACAUUUUAGAAUUCUUCAAUUUUUCCAGCACAGGAAUUUUGCUAAGCUCUUCCUGUAACUUGAGUGUCAGUUGGGGCUCUCCAUAUCAAUAUUAUCUUGCACUUUGUUUAACGAUGGGACCUUUCUUUUACUUUUUACUCCUGUUUCAACCAUUCUUACCAACAUGCCACUGUUUUGUGCUUUAUCCAUCCAUGUAGUGUCUACUCUUUAGUCAUUUUUUUUUCCCUUUUUCGGGAAUUCUCUAAGAACUUGCUUGUUGAACACCAAAGAUUAUUUUCUUUCCCAUAGUUAUGACUUCUGAAUUUUGUCUUGAACCUGCUAGUAACUCAUAUAUUUUUUUAAUUAUUUUGUGAAAAAAAAAUUUGGUAAAUUACUCUGUCAUCAAAAUACAUUUUAUGAGUUUGGGCACUUGUAAAUCACUGAUCUGCAUCCACAUUGCAUGCACACUGCUAGAGCUGCAGCAUCUAGAAGUUAAUGUUCUAGACAGACUUUGUACAGGAGAGUAGGAUUACGUCGGUCACGUUCAGAUUGAGGCCCAUGAGCAAGUUACAAGAAUAAGGUUGGUAUUACAGAACCAUUUAGGUUGGAAAAGGCCUCUGAUAUUGAGUCCAGUCUUUGAUCAUCACCUUGUCAACUAGACCAUAGGACUAAGUGCCAUGUCCAGUUGUUUCCUGAGCACCUCCAGGAAUGAUGACUCCACUGCCUCACAGGACAGUCAGUCCCAAUCCUUGACAACCCUUUCAUCCUCCUGAUGUCCAACCUGAACCUCCCCUGGUGCACCUUGAAGCUGUGUCCUCUCAUCCCCUUGCUGGUUGCAUGGGAGAAGAAGUCAAUCCCCAGCUGGCUGCAGCCUCCUUUCAGGGAGGUGUAGAGAGUGACAAGGUCUUCCCUGAGCCUCCUCUUCUCCAGACUAAACACCCCAGCUCCCUCAGCCAUUCCUCACAGGACUUGUGCUC